GGGAAAGGCGAAAAGAACCCCGGCGAGGGGAGUGAAAAAGAACCUGAAACCGUGUACGUACAAGCAGUGGGAGCCUCUUUAUGGGGUGACUGCGUACCUUUUGUAUAAUGGGUCAGCGACUUAUAUUCUGUAGCAAGGUUAACCGAAUAGGGGAGCCGAAGGGAAACCGAGUCUUAACUGGGCGUUAAGUUGCAGGGUAUAGACCCGAAACCCGGUGAUCUAGCCAUGGGCAGGUUGAAGGUUGGGUAACACUAACUGGAGGACCGAACCGACUAAUGUUGAAAAAUUAGCGGAUGACUUGUGGCUGGGGGUGAAAGGCCAAUCAAACCGGGAGAUAGCUGGUUCUCCCCGAAAGCUAUUUAGGUAGCGCCUCGUGAAUUCAUCUCCGGGGGUAGAGCACUGUUUCGGCAAGGGGGUCAUCCCGACUUACCAACCCGAUGCAAACUGCGAAUACCGGAGAAUGUUAUCACGGGAGACACACGGCGGGUGCUAACGUCCGUCGUGAAGAGGGAAACAACCCAGACCGCCAGCUAAGGUCCCAAAGUCAUGGUUAAGUGGGAAACGAUGUGGGAAGGCCCAGACAGCCAGGAUGUUGGCUUAGAAGCAGCCAUCAUUUAAAGAAAGCGUAAUAGCUCACUGGUCGAGUCGGCCUGCGCGGAAGAUGUAACGGGGCUAAACCAUGCACCGAAGCUGCGGCAGCGACACUAUGUGUUGUUGGGUAGGGGAGCGUUCUGUAAGCCUGUGAAGGUGUACUGUGAGGUAUGCUGGAGGUAUCAGAAGUGCGAAUGCUGACAUAAGUAACGAUAAAGCGGGUGAAAAGCCCGCUCGCCGGAAGACCAAGGGUUCCUGUCCAACGUUAAUCGGGGCAGGGUGAGUCGACCCCUAAGGCGAGGCCGAAAGGCGUAGUCGAUGGGAAACAGGUUAAUAUUCCUGUACUUGGUGUUACUGCGAAGGGGGGACGGAGAAGGCUAUGUUGGCCGGGCGACGGUUGUCCCGGUUUAAGCGUGUAGGCUGGUUUUCCAGGCAAAUCCGGAAAAUCAAGGCUGAGGCGUGAUGACGAGGCACUACGGUGCUGAAGCAACAAAUGCCCUGCUUCCAGGAAAAGCCUCUAAGCAUCAGGUAACAUCAAAUCGUACCCCAAACCGACACAGGUGGUCAGGUAGAGAAUACCAAGGCGCUUGAGAGAACUCGGGUGAAGGAACUAGGCAAAAUGGUGCCGUAACUUCGGGAGAAGGCACGCUGAUAUGUAGGUGAAGCGACUUGCUCGUGGAGCUGAAAUCAGUCGAAGAUACCAGCUGGCUGCAACUGUUUAUUAAAAACACAGCACUGUGCAAACACGAAAGUGGACGUAUACGGUGUGACGCCUGCCCGGUGCCGGAAGGUUAAUUGAUGGGGUUAGCGGUAACGCGAAGCUCUUGAUCGAAGCCCCGGUAAACGGCGGCCGUAACUAUAACGGUCCUAAGGUAGCGAAAUUCCUUGUCGGGUAAGUUCCGACCUGCACGAAUGGCGUAAUGAUGGCCAGGCUGUCUCCACCCGAGACUCAGUGAAAUUGAACUCGCUGUGAAGAUGCAGUGUACCCGCGGCAAGACGGAAAGACCCCGUGAACCUUUACUAUAGCUUGACACUGAACAUUGAGCCUUGAUGUGUAGGAUAGGUGGGAGGCUUUGAAGUGUGGACGCCAGUCUGCAUGGAGCCGGCCUUGAAAUACCACCCUUUAAUGUUUGAUGUUCUAACGUUGGCCCCUGAUCGGGGUUGCGGACAGUGUCUGGUGGGUAGUUUGACUGGGGCGGUCUCCUCCUAAAGAGUAACGGAGGAGCACGAAGGUUGGCUAAUCCUGGUCGGACAUCAGGAGGUUAGUGCAAUGGCAUAAGCCAGCUUGACUGCGAGCGUGACGGCGCGAGCAGGUGCGAAAGCAGGUCAUAGUGAUCCGGUGGUUCUGAAUGGAAGGGCCAUCGCUCAACGGAUAAAAGGUACUCCGGGGAUAACAGGCUGAUACCGCCCAAGAGUUCAUAUCGACGGCGGUGUUUGGCACCUCGAUGUCGGCUCAUCACAUCCUGGGGCUGAAGUAGGUCCCAAGGGUAUGGCUGUUCGCCAUUUAAAGUGGUACGCGAGCUGGGUUUAGAACGUCGUGAGACAGUUCGGUCCCUAUCUGCCGUGGGCGCUGGAGAACUGAGGGGGGCUGCUCCUAGUACGAGAGGACCGGAGUGGACGCAUCACUGGUGUUCGGGUUGUCAUGCCAAUGGCACUGCCCGGUAGCUAAAUGCGGAAGAGAUAAGUGCUGAAAGCAUCUAAGCACGAAACUUGCCCCGAGAUGAGUUCUCCCUGAGACUUAGAGUCUCCUGAAGGAACGUUGAAGACGACGACGUUGAUAGGCCGGGUGUGUAAGCGCAGCGAUGCGUUGAGCUAACCGGUACUAAUGAACCGUGAGGCUUAACCUUACAACGCCGAAG
rnacentral:rRNA from 1 species